rnacentral:rRNA from 1 species
UACAGAGGGUGCAAGCGUUGUUCGGAAUUAUUGGGCGUAAAGCGCGCGCAGGCGGGAUUGCAAGUCGGAUGUGAAAGCCCUCGGCUCAACCGAGGAAGUGCGUUCGAAACUGCAGUUCUUGAGUGUCGGAGAGGGUGGCGGAAUUCCUGGUGUAGAGGUGAAAUUCGUAGAUAUCAGGAGGAACACCAGAGGCGAAGGCGGCCACCUGGACGAACACUGACGCUGAGGCGCGAAAGCGUGGGGAGCAAACAGG